CGUGUAGGCGGCCAUGCAAGUCGGAUGUGAAAGCCCUCGGCUCAACCGGGGAAGUGCACUCGAAACUGCAAGGCUAGAGUCUCGGAGAGGAUCGUGGAAUUCUCGGUGUAGAGGUGAAAUUCGUAGAUAUCGAGAGGAACACCGGUGGCGAAGGCGGCGAUCUGGACGAUGACUGACGCUGAGCGCGAAGCGUGGGAGCAAACA
rnacentral:rRNA from 1 species